AAUUAUAAUUUAUGGUAUUAGAAAAUUCAAAAGUUGUCUUAAAAAAGGAGAUUUUAAAAUAUAAUAACAAUUCCAAAUGUAUUUAAUUUGUUAGCAAGUUCUUUAAACUUUAAACUGCAUGGAUUCAUUAAAAAAAAACUUCAAAAGCUUCAAGUUUCAUAAAAAAAAGAAUUUAGGUAAUGUUCGAGUUGCUAAUCAAAAUUUAAAAGGUCAAUAGAAGUAGCGAGAGAAAACUUAUCCAAGUUGUUGACAUUAAGUUUUGACAUUGUUGAAUUUUAAGCAGUUUUUGUUUUAAUGGUUACCAAACAAAAUAAAAUGCUUAAAAUGUCUAAAAAAGUUAAUCUUGUUCAAAUCAAGGAUACUUAUAAAGAAGAAAAGUUGGAACAUUUCUUACCAGAUGUUCAUAAGGACAAAUCAUUUAAACUUACUAAUAGAGAUGUUAAAGGUGGUGUUUAUCAUUUUUUAAAUUUGGAAAACUCUUUGAAAAAAUCAAAUCAACUAGAAACUAGUUCUUGUUUACCCGUAAUAAACAAAUGGUCGUCGUCUUUUAUUUGUUCUUCUAAUUGCACUACAGAAAAAAAACAAGAUAAAAUAAAACUGCCAUCUAUUGAUAGUUUGAACAAUAAUUUGAACAAAAAUCAAACAAAACAACGUCACUGGAGGAAAAAAUAAAGUUAUUAAUUUUUUUAAAAUAUAAAUCUUUUUAUAGCGUA
rnacentral:lncRNA from 1 species